GCCUAUAUGGUGAAAUUGGUAAACACAAUGGACUUAAAAUCCAUAUCUUCAUUGAUUAUCGGUUCAAGUCCGAUUAUAGGUA
rnacentral:tRNA from 1 species